rnacentral:snRNA from 1 species
AAGCUGCGUGGUAAGCACAUAGCGAACUAUUCUUUCGCCUUUUACUAAAUAAUACCGUGUGCUUGCCGCUUUUCAAGCAGCAUAUCACAUAUGCCUCUUUUUGGAGGGCUUUUUUCCUCUUUAGGAAU